rnacentral:lncRNA from 1 species
GUCAUAUUUGAUUAAAUAGUAGUGAAGUAUUAAUUUUAUGUGCUGGCUUAGACCUUCCUCCCUAUCGGAUGAAAUUGAUACAAGUCACUAUGUAUUUAAUCGUCUAGUUUUGAUAAUCUGUAUUAACUCUCCUAAACUGAGUAAUAUAGGAUUGGAUCAAUGUAACUAGAGGAUUUUCACUUGACUUAAACUAACAGUAGACUCUCCAUCUGAGUUAGGUCUGUAUAAGUUUAUGGAGUGAAUAAUCGGUCAUUGUACAUGUGUAUUGCAUGAGUAGUUCUCCAAUCCCAUCAAUUGGCUAUUCGAGAU